rnacentral:rRNA from 1 species
UACGAAGGGGGCUAGCGUUGUUCGGAAUUCCUGGGCGUAAAGCGCACGUAGGCGGAUCGAUCAGUCAGGGGUGAAAUCCCAGGGCUCAACCCUGGAACUGCCUUUGAUACUGUCGAUCUGGAGUAUGGAAGAGGUGAGUGGAAUUCCGAGUGUAGAGGUGAAAUUCGUAGAUAUUCGGAGGAACACCAGUGGCGAAGGCGGCUCACUGGUCCAUUACUGACGCUGAGGUGCGAAAGCGUGGGGAGCGAACAGG